UACGUAGGGUGCAAGCGUUGUCCGGAAUUAUUGGGCGUAAAGAGCUUGUAGGCGGUUUGUCGCGUCUGCUGUGAAAUCUCAAGGCUCAACCUUGAGCUUGCAGUGGGUACGGGCAGACUAGAGUGUGGUAGGGGAGACUGGAAUUCCGUGGUGUAGCGGUGAAAUGCGCAGAUAUCAGGAGGAACACCGAGUGGCGAAGGCAGGUCUCUGGGCCGACUACU
rnacentral:rRNA from 1 species